rnacentral:rRNA from 1 species
GACGAACGCUGGCGGCGUGCCUAAUACAUGCAAGUCGAACGCAGUGGGGACGGGUGAGUAACACGUGGGUAACCUCCCAUCAGAGGAGAUAACACUUGGAAACAGGUGCUAAACCGAUACUGAUGGAUGGACCCGAGGUGCAUUAGCUAGUUGGGGAGGUAACGGCUCACCAAGGCCACUAUGCAUACCCAGCCUGAGAGUGUGUGCGGCCUCUCUGGGACUGAUACACGGCCCAGACUCCUACGGGAGGCAGCAGUGGGGCUUAUUCGGCAAUGGACGAAAGUAUGACCGAGCAACGACGCGUGAGUGACGAAGGUUUUCGGAUCGUAAAACUCUUUUGUUAGAGCAGCGGUAUUUAAACAGAAAGCCACGGCUAACUACGUGCCAGCAGCCGCGGUAAUAC